rnacentral:rRNA from 1 species
UACGUAGGCAGCGAGCGUUGUUCGGAGUUACUGGGCGUAAAGAGUGCGUAGGCGGUCCUCUAAGUUUGGUGUGAAAUCUCCCGGCUCAACUGGGAGGGUGCGCCGAAAACUGGAGUGCUCGAGUAUGGGAGAGGUAAGCGGAAUUCCUGGUGUAGCGGUGAAAUGCGUAGAUAUCAGGAGGAACACCUGCGGUGUAGACGGCUUACUGGACCAUGACUGACGCUGAGGCACGAAAGCGUGGGGAGCAAACAGG